rnacentral:rRNA from 1 species
GACGAACGCUGGCGGCGUGCUUAACACAUGCAAGUCGAACGGAAAGGCCCCAGCUUGCUGGGGUACUCGAGUGGCGAACGGGUGAGUAACACGUGGGUGAUCUGCCCUGCACUCUGGGAUAAGCCUGGGAAACUGGGUCUAAUACCGGAUAGGACCGUGCUUUAGUGUGUGCGGUGGAAAGUUUUUCGGUGCAGGAUGAGCCCGCGGCCUAUCAGCUUGUUGGUGGGGUAAUGGCCUACCAAGGCGGCGACGGGUAGCCGGCCUGAGAGGGUGUACGGCCACAUUGGGACUGAGACACGGCCCAGACUCCUACGGGAGGCAGCAGUGGGGAAUAUUGCACAAUGGGCGCAAGCCUGAUGCAGCGACGCCGCGUGGGGGAUGACGGCCUUCGGGUUGUAAACCCCUUUCGGCAGGGACGAAGCUUUUGUGACGGUACCUGCAUAAGAAGCACCGGCUAACUAUGUG